rnacentral:rRNA from 2 species
UGCUGGAGGUAUCAGAAGUGCGAAUGCUGACAUAAGUAACGAUAAAGCGGGUGAAAAGCCCGCUCGCCGGAAGACCAAGGGUUCCUGUCCAACGUUAAUCGGGGCAGGGUGAGUCGACCCCUAAGGCGAGGCCGAAAGGCGUAGUCGAUGGGAAACGGGUUAAUAUUCCCGUACUUGGUGUUACUGCGAAGGGGGGACGGAGAAGGCUAUGUUGGCCGGGCGACGGUUGUCCCGGUUUAAGCGUGUAGGUGUGUGUUCCAGGUAAAUCCGGUUCACUUUAACACUGAGGCGUGACGACGAGGCACUACGGUGCUGAAGCAACAAAUGCCCUGCUUCCAGGAAAAGCCUCUAAGCAUCAGGUAACAUCAAAUCGUACCCCAAACCGACACAGGUGGUCAGGUAGAGAAUACCAAGGCGCUUGAGAGAACUCGGGUGAAGGAACUAGGCAAAAUGGUGCCGUAACUUCGGGAGAAGGCACGCUGACACGUAGGUGAAGUGAUUUACUCAUGGAGCUGAAGUCAGUCGAAGAUACCAGCUGGCUGCAACUGUUUAUUAAAAACACAGCACUGUGCAAACACGAAAGUGGACGUAUACGGUGUGACGCCUGCCCGGUGCCGGAAGGUUAAUUGAUGGGGUCAGCGCAAGCGAAGCUCCUGAUCGAAGCCCCGGUAAACGGCGGCCGUAACUAUAACGGUCCUAAGGUAGCGAAAUUCCUUGUCGGGUAAGUUCCGACCUGCACGAAUGGCGUAAUGAUGGCCAGGCUGUCUCCACCCGAGACUCAGUGAAAUUGAACUCGCUGUGAAGAUGCAGUGUACCCGCGGCAAGACGGAAAGACCCCGUGAACCUUUACUAUAGCUUGACACUGAACAUUGAGCCUUGAUGUGUAGGAUAGGUGGGAGGCUUUGAAGUGUGGACGCCAGUCUGCAUGGAGCCGACCUUGAAAUACCACCCUUUAAUGUUUGAUGUUCUAACGUGGACCCGUUACCCGGGUUGCGGACAGUGUCUGGUGGGUAGUUUGACUGGGGCGGUCUCCUCCUAAAGAGUAACGGAGGAGCACGAAGGUUGGCUAAUCCUGGUCGGACAUCAGGAGGUUAGUGCAAUGGCAUAAGCCAGCUUGACUGCGAGCGUGACGGCGCGAGCAGGUGCGAAAGCAGGUCAUAGUGAUCCGGUGGUUCUGAAUGGAAGGGCCAUCGCUCAACGGAUAAAAGGUACUCCGGGGAUAACAGGCUGAUACCGCCCAAGAGUUCAUAUCGACGGCGGUGUUUGGCACCUCGAUGUCGGCUCAUCACAUCCUGGGGCUGAAGUAGGUCCCAAGGGUAUGGCUGUUCGCCAUUUAAAGUGGUACGCGAGCUGGGUUUAGAACGUCGUGAGACAGUUCGGUCCCUAUCUGCCGUGGGCGCUGGAGAACUGAGGGGGGCUGCUCCUAGUACGAGAGGACCGGAGUGGACGCAUCACUGGUGUUCGGGUUGUCAUGCCAAUGGCACUGCCCGGUAGCUAAAUGCGGAAGAGAUAAGUGCUGAAAGCAUCUAAGCACGAAACUUGCCCCGAGAUGAGUUCUCCCUGAGACUUAAAGUCUCCUGAAGGAACGUUGAAGACGACGACGUUGAUAGGCCGGGUGUGUAAGCGCAGCGAUGCGUUGAGCUAACCGGUACUAAUGAACCGUGAGGCUUAACCUUACAACGCCGAAG